AUUGAACGCUGGCGGUAUGCUUAACACAUGCAAGUCGAACGAUGAGAAAGAGCUUGCUCUUUCGAUUAGUGGCGGACGGGUGCGUAACGCGUAGGAAUCUACCUAUUAGUGGGGGACAACUUAGGGAAACUUAAGCUAAUACCGCAUACGCCCUACGGGGGAAAGAAGGGGAUCGCAAAACCUUUUGCUAAUAGAUGAGCCGGCGUAGGAUUAGUUAGCUGGUGGGGUAAAAGCUCACCAAGUCGACGAUCCUUAACUGGUUUGAGAGAAUGAUCAGUCACACUGGAACUGAGACACGGUCCAGACUCCUACGGGAGGCAGCAGUGGGGAAUAUUGGACAAUGGACGAAAGUCUGAUGCAGCAACGCCGCGUGGAGGAUGACACAUUUCGGUGCGUAAACUCCUUUUAUAUAGGAAGAUAAUGACGGUACUAUAUGAAUAAGCACCGGCUAACUCCGUGCCAGCAGCCGCCGUAA
rnacentral:rRNA from 1 species